UACGUAGGUGGCAAGCGUUGUCGGGAAUUAUUGGGCGUAAAGCGCGCGCAGGCGGUCCUUUAAGUCUGAUGUGAAAGCCCACGGCUCAACCGUGGGGGGUCAUUGGAAACUGGGAGACUUGAGUGCAGAAGAAGAGAGCGGAAUUCCACGUGUAGCGGUGAAAUGCGUAGAGAUGUGGAGGAACACCAGUGGCGAAGGCGGCUCUCUGGUCUGUAACUGACGCUCAUGCACGAAAGCGUGGGGAGCAAACAGG
rnacentral:rRNA from 1 species